rnacentral:rRNA from 1 species
UACGUAGGCAGCGAGCGUUGUUCGGAAUUAUUGGGCGUAAAGAGUGUGUAGCCGGUUCUACAAGUCUUCCGUUAAAUCCAACUGCUUAACAGGUGGGCUGCGGAAGAUACUAUAGAGCUAGGAGGCGGGAGAGGCAAGCGGUACUCGAUGGGUAGGGGUAAAAUCCGUUGAUCCAUUGAAGACCACCAGUGGCGAAGGCGGCUUGCCAGAACGCGCUCGACGGUGAGGGAUGAAAGCUGGGGGAGCAAACCGG